ACAAUCUCCGCGUCGCUUAGCAACCGCGAUGUUUACCGCUCAGGAUAUAGGCGCGCGAGCGCGGGAGAAUAGAGUCUAAUGGUUAUUAUAGGCUGCGCGGUAAUAACCCGCAGACAGGAUCCAGAUUACGGGUCUUUAUUGCGGCCAAUUUCAAAAGGCGCAUCAGAAAAGAGGAAAAUGUGCGGGAAAUGUUGGCGCGUUGGUUGUUGGUCCAACACAGAUCUGUGGAUUGAUUAUUGAUCAGCUGUUUGCUCUCAGAUUCCCGCGGAUAAGCCGCCUUUGUGAUGCUGACAAACCUCACCUGUGUGACUCACGCGGAGAGGCGCGCGCGCGCCAAAGGUUGACAAAAAAACAACAAGCGGCUUUCAGCAUCUUCAGCAGAAAAUUCCUCUUCCAGCAUCACACAAACAUUAUCACAGAAUCAAACAGCUCCGAUGUUUCCCACAAUGCAUUGCUGUUUGGAAGAUGCCGCAGCAGCUGAACCCUUAAAGUCACUUUGGAUUCGGAGAUUUCUUGGAAAAACUUCUGAAUAAUGUGAAUAAACAAACUCCCCCUGUGAAACCUUCCGGCCGGGCCCACCAGCCGACCCGACACAAGCCCGUCCCCCCAGACAAUUCCUCUGACCAUCUUCAAAAUCCAAUGGCAACCUCCAAAUCGUCUUUGUGGCCCCGAGAGGCUCUGAACCCCUUUGUGCCGCUAAAGCUCAUAAAUUUGUCGCUGGGGCUGAUUAAACAUGGCCGAAGUGAAACACUAAA